rnacentral:rRNA from 1 species
GGCGGCGUGCUUAACACAUGCAAGUCGCGUGCGCAGUUUCCGUAGCAAUACGGAGAUGGGCGCACGGCGCACGGGUGCGUAACACGUGGGCAAUCUGCCCUUUGAUGGGGAAUAACCCGCCGAAAGGCGGGCUAAUUCCGCAUAAGAUUCCCGGAACUUCGGUUCUGGGAUUGAAAGCAGCAAUGCGUCGAAGGAGGAGCCCGCGCCCGAUUAGCUAGUUGGUGAGGUAACGGCUCACCAAGGCUAUGAUCGGUAGCUGGUCUGAGAGGAUGAUCAGCCACACUGGAACUGAGACACGGUCCAGACUCCUACGGGAGGCAGCAGUGGGGAAUCUUGCACAAUGGGCGAAAGCCUGAUGCANCGACGCCGCGUGGGGGAUGAAGCAUUUCGGUGUGUNAACCCCUUUCGACUGGGACGAAUGCCUCGCAAGAGGAGUGACGGUACCAGUANAAGAAGCCCCGGCUAACUACGUGCCAGCAGCCGCGGUAAGACGUAGGGGGCCAGCGUUGUUCGGAAUUACUGGGUGU